rnacentral:lncRNA from 1 species
UGCAUCGGUCUAUCUGGAUCGAUCAUCAUUCUUAUGAUGAUACUAUGAUCAAAAAUAUUUAAGAAUUAAAUACAUAUCUCUAAUUCUCAAUACUUUGAGAAUAUGUAUCGAAAUAUUAAUUUUAUGGACGAUUCAAGGACACAUCACUCUCGAAUGAAAAUUAAACUUACUCUUUUAUUGAUCAAAUCAAUGUAUUAAGUAUAAAAUUAUGUCCUAGCUUUAUUAUAAUGUGUCAGCCAUAUUAGCUUCUAGGACAUACGUCUAACAAUCUCUCACUUGAACUAAAGUCAAUU